AUUAAUUCUCGAUCUUUUAGCUAAGAUCAAGUAUAGUAUUUGGUCUUAUCAGUUUAAUAUCUGAUAUGUGGCUCACACGAUAUUAAAUUACUUUUUAGGGUAGGGUUGGGCCACUACAGUAGCUUGCUACUGGGCUUUUCGAGAGUCGUUGAUGCGUUGCAUUAUUGUUUGGGCUGGCGCACCCCAC
rnacentral:snRNA from 1 species